CGGAAAAUUGAAAAUGAAACGGGGAAGGGGGACCGAAAAGAAUUUCCCAACCCGACCAAAAUCGCUUCUUACCUCACGGAUCAACGAGAAGAUGCCUCGAAUCAAAACCAGUAUCAUCAUCAUCAUUCUCCUCUUCAGAAGCCCUAACUCUGCAAAUCCCACCGCACCCACACACCCACCCUCAGGAAAACAGAGAUCUCCCCUCCUCUCACACGGACCCCCGACAAUCUUCAUCAUCACCAUCGACAACCAGAUGAGAGAGAGGAUCGGCGGCGGCGGCGGAGGCGACGGCGACGGCGACGGCGAGGGGAUCCUGCGGCGAGGAAACUAAGGGGUUUUCUUUAGCGAAAAGGAAAGGAGUGUGUAUGACGAUGAGAAACAGAGGAGCGGCUGUCUGCUGAGAUAGAUAAUCGAAUCUGAGGAAGUUUGGAGAACUUUUCCCGCAUCAUACACACCAUGCUCAAGGUCCCGGAUCAUCAAGUCGCCGGUCACCGAGCAGACGGCGGAAUGCUUGGGCCACUGGUGGAUGAUUCGGGCCGCUUCUAUAAGCCUCUCCAGAGCGAUCAGCGCGGAGCCACGGAAGUGGCCUUUUACGAGUCAUUCUCUUCCAAUGCCGAGAUCCCAGGUCACAUUCGCGAAUUCUUUCCGGUGUUUCACGGAACUCAGAGUAUAGAGGCAUCUGAUGGAUCGGGUCCUCAACCUCACCUGGUUCUGGAGGAUCUCGUCGCGGGUCGUGUGAACCCAUCUGUCAUGGACAUCAAGAUGGGAUCCAGAACAUGGUAUCCCGAAGCUUCUGAGAAGUACAUCCAGAAGUGCUUAGAGAAAGAUCGAGAUAGCACGAGCGUUUCACUGGGGUUCAGGAUUUCGGGGCUAAAGGUAUAUCAGAAUAGCGAAGCCGGGUUUUGGCAACCUGACAAGAAGGUUGUUUAUAGCUUUAAUGCGGAUGGUGUCAGGUUGGCACUGAGGAAGUUCGUUUCUUCUAACUUGUCUGUGGGUUCGAAUGCGGAUCCGGAUUGUUCGUAUGCAUCAACAGUUUACGGUCACUCGGGUGGGAUUUUGGCACAAUUGUUACAGCUGAAGCAAUGGUUUGAGGUUCAGACGACUUAUCACUUUUAUUCUUGUUCGAUCCUCUUCUUUUAUGACAGGGAGUCGGCUUUGGACGGCUGUGCAGACCCGAAAGUUAAACUGGUGGACUUUGCACAUGUGGUGGAUGGCCGCGGCGUGAUCGAUCACAACUUCUUGGGUGGCCUCUGUUCUUUGAUCAAGUUUAUACGUGACAUUGAUGAUGAAGAUAACAAGGGCGCAAAUUGCCAAGUCAAGCUUGGAUAUGAAAAAUCAUAGAAAGAAAAGGCCUAUAUAAGAGCAACACGGAAGCAGAGCUUGUUCCCUGUGGGAACUGGAGACUAACUGCAUUCCUGCUCUGAUUAGUGGUUCAGAGAAGGUCUCUGAGGGAGAAAACUCCAGGAAAGCCUUGCAACGUGUGAGCUUCCAGUCAUCUUCGACCUCCGAUGGCGACAAAGUCGCCGAGAAAUAGCCGUUUGCAUCAGUGGGUCUGCUCAAGAUGCAGAACGGAGCAGUUUCGUACCCUCGCUUGUCCACAGCCAAACAUGUUAUUCUCGCCCGAGCACCUGGAAUCACAUUAUUGUGUUCAAUUUCUUUUCGCUUUGUGGAAGAGUAAUUGUCAUGUGUAUUGCGACUUACCCAUGAUUUUAUCUAUCACCACAUAUGGAAUUCCACUCAUUAGCUAAUGUAAAUUUGAGAGAGAGGAGAAAUGAAGCUGGGAGGAUGUACCAUGUUUAGGCAGUUCAACAACUGUUCUAUUUUCUUUA